rnacentral:rRNA from 1 species
CCUGCAUGAAGUCGGAAUCGCUAGUAAUCGCGGAUCAGAAUGCCGCGGUGAAUACGUUCCCGGGUCUUGUACACACCGCCCGUCACACCAUGGGAGUGGGUUUCACCAGAAGUAGGUAGCCUAACCGCAAGGAGGGCGCUUACCACGGUGGGAUUCAUGACUGGGGUGAAGUCGUAACAAGGUAGCCGUAUCGGAAGGUGCGGCUGGAUCACCUCCUUUA